rnacentral:rRNA from 1 species
CUGCUGCCUCCCGUAGGAGUCUGGGCCGUGUCUCAGUCCCAAUGUGGCCGUCCACUCUCUCAAGCCGGCUACUGAUCGUCGCCUUGGUGAGCCGUUACCUCACCAACCAGCUAAUCAGACGCGGGUCCAUCCCAUAGCGAUAAAUCUUUGAAGAAAAGAACAUGCGCUCUCUCCUUGUUAUGCGGUAUUAGCAGCCGUUUCCAGCUGUUCGUCCCCCUCUAUGGGGCAGGUUGCCCACGCGUUACU